GAAACGAGCAGUCAGCCGCACGGCCGCACGCGCCCCAGCUCUCGAAAAGCACUCGAGUCUCGACGACCUAGCUGCCGGGUCGACGACCUAGCCGCCGGGCAGCCGGAGCUGGCGGAGCCGCGGCGCGGAGCUCGCCACACCGCGCAGACCUCGGCACUCCGCCGGUCGUCGCCCAACGAGGGAGCCAGCACGGGGAGGCGGGCAGCUCGUCGGUCGUCGGCCGUCGCCCAUCGCCUGAGCCAGCCGACGCCUGUCCGUCGCCCAUCGCCUGAGCAGUGGACUGCGCCUGAGGACCUCCGACUCCGAGGCAAUCGAGGCUCCCCUGCCUGUGCCUGAAAUGAAGAGAAAGAAGUUUGCACAGUUGGUUUCCAAGCAGUUAAAGAAAGGGACUGUCUAUUUGACAUUUGACUGUUUUUCAAUUCGAAAACAGUCAAAUUUCCCGACCAAUCAACACAAUACAUCUGUAUUAGCAGCAAAAUCACCAAAAAACAGAAAAGAACACCUAAACGGGUCGGGUAAACAUCUCACGCGGUUCGUCCUGGACAAACAAACCCCCCUCCCGAUCAGGGGACCACAUAGCACAUGCCAGCAAGUUUGCAACGCACGCAAAGACCAAGCCCCUCCACAAAACAGGGCUGGAACAAAUCUGGGAGCCGCCCAUGGGAGAGGCAGCCAUGGCAGAUCGGGGAGGAGGAGAAGAAGGAAGAGCAAACACAAAAUUCGGAGAGGGAAAUGUACCUGAGGAGAAGCAGCAGGGAGAUCAACAACACGAUCAUCUACAGGAUAUUCCAACGACAAGGACUAAGAGGUGCAGCAAAGCGCGCAUGCCCUUCUAGUCAAGAGAAGAAAGAUGGCAAAGGAAUCCUGAGAAUCGCACCGUAUGCUAAAUCUGCUAACACAAUUUUGAAUAGUCAAAUCCCUGUCAAGUUAGUACUGGUGGAGGAGUUUUUUUUUUAUCUAGAGUUAAGGUACAAGAAAGCUACGAAUUUAAUCUUUUUGGUUGUUGCGUCGUGAGAACACGCGAGAGUUGCUAGCGAGAUUCAUUUCUGGUCUAUCUUGUGCUGGUUUUGUUACUUUAGCUUGUUGCAUCUCCCAUGAUCCAUAGUAUUUGUUCGGCUACAUCUUCUUCAUCUAUUUUGUUGCGUACCGUGAAAGAUUAGGAGGUCUACAAGCACGCAUGAAUUUGCAUCUUGACUUCAUCAAGUGGUAUCCAGAGCAAAGGUCGAUCAUGAUACAUUGUUGUUUAAGAUGUCAAACUCGGUUAACAAGAACAUCAAAGUUGUUACUGAUUUUGAGGAAGUUGUACGU